UACGAAGGGUGCAAGCGUUAAUCGGAAUUACUGGGCGUAAAGGGUGCGUAGGCGGUUGUUUAAGUCUGUCGUGAAAUCCCCGGGCUCAACCUGGGAAUGGCGAUGGAUACUGGGCAGCUAGAGUGUGUCAGAGGAUGGUGGAAUUCCCGGUGUAGCGGUGAAAUGCGUAGAGAUCGGGAGGAACAUCAGUGGCGAAGGCGGCCACCUGGACCAGCACUGACACUGAGGCACGAAAGCGUGGGGAGCAAACAGG
rnacentral:rRNA from 1 species